rnacentral:rRNA from 1 species
UACGAAGGGGGCUAGCGUUGCUCGGAAUCACUGGGCGUAAAGCGCACGUAGGCGGCUUUUUAAGUCAGGGGUGAAAUCCUGGAGCUCAACUCCAGAACUGCCUUUGAUACUGAGAAGCUUGAGUCCGGGAGAGGUGAGUGGAACUGCGAGUGUAGAGGUGAAAUUCGUAGAUAUUCGCAAGAACACCAGUGGCGAAGGCGGCUCACUGGUCCGGAUCUGACGCUGAGGCGCGAAAGCGUGGGGAGCAAACAGG